rnacentral:rRNA from 1 species
UGAGGAAUAUUGGUCAAUGGGCGAGAGCCUGAACCAGCCAAGUCGCGUGAAGGAAGACAGUCCUAAGGAUUGUAAACUUCUUUUAUACGGGAAUAACGGGCGAUACGAGUAUUGCAUUGAAUGUACCGUAAGAAUAAGCAUCGGCUAACUCCGUGCCAGCAGCCGCGGUAAUACGGAGGAUGCGAGCGUUAUCCGGAUUUAUUGGGUUUAAAGGGUGCGUAGGUUGUUCGGUAAGUCAGCGGUGAAACCUGAGCGCUCAACGUUCAGCCUGCCGUUGAAACUGCCGGGCUUGAGUUCAGUGGCGGCAGGCGGAAUUCGUGGUGUAGCGGUGAAAUGCAUAGGUAUCACGAGGAACUCCGAUUGCGAAGGCAGCUUGCCAUACUGCGACUGACACUGAAGCACGAAGGCGUGGGUAUCAAACAGG